rnacentral:rRNA from 1 species
UACAGAGGGGGCUAGCGUUAUUCGGAAUUAUUGGGCGUAAAGGGCGCGUAGGCGGCCAUGCGUGUCUUCUGUGAAAUCCCUCGGCUUAACUGAGGACGUGCGGAAGAAACUGCAAGGCUCGAGUCCGGGAGAGGGGGGUGGAAUUCCCAGUGUAGCGGUGAAAUGCGUAGAUAUCAGGAAGAACGCCCGUGGCGAAGGCGGCUCGCUGGGACGGUACUGACGCUGAGACGCGAAAGCGUGGGGAGCGAACAGG